AAUCCAUAGGUUAAUGAGGCGAACCGGGGGAACUGAAACAUCUAAGUACCCCGAGGAAAAGAAAUCAACCGAGAUUCCCCCAGUAGCGGCGAGCGAACGGGGAGGAGCCCAGAGCCUGAAUCAGCAUGUGUGUUAGUGGAAGCGUCUGGAAAGGCGCGCGAUACAGGGUGACAGCCCCGUACACAAAAGCGCAUGUGCUGUGAGCUCGAUGAGUAGGGCGGGACACGUGGUAUCCUGUCUGAAUAUGGGGGGACCAUCCUCCAAGGCUAAAUACUCCUGACUGACCGAUAGUGAACCAGUACCGUGAGGGAAAGGCGAAAAGAACCCCGGCGAGGGGAGUGAAAAAGAACCUGAAACCGUGUACGUACAAGCAGUGGGAGCACAGGUUUACCUGUGUGACUGCGUACCUUUUGUAUAAUGGGUCAGCGACUUAUAUUCUGUAGCAAGGUUAACCGAAUAGGGGAGCCGGAGGGAAACCGAGUCUUAAUUGGGCGUUAAGUUGCAGGGUAUAGACCCGAAACCCGGUGAUCUAGCCAUGGGCAGGUUGAAGGUUGGGUAACACUAACUGGAGGACCGAACCGACUAAUGUUGAAAAAUUAGCGGAUGACCUGUGGCUGGGGGUGAAAGGCCAAUCAAACCGGGAGAUAGCUGGUUCUCCCCGAAAGCUAUUUAGGUAGCGCCUCGUGAAUUCAUCUCCGGGGGUAGAGCACUGUUUCGGCUAGGGGGCCAUCCCGGCUUACCAACCCGAUGCAAACUGCGAAUACCGGAGAAUGUUAUCACGGGAGACACACGGCGGGUGCUAACGUCCGUCGUGAAGAGGGAAACAACCCAGACCGCCAGCUAAGGUCCCAAAGUCAUGGUUAAGUGGGAAACGAUGUGGGAAGGCCCAGACAGCCAGGAUGUUGGCUUAGAAGCAGCCAUCAUUUAAAGAAAGCGUAAUAGCUCACUGGUCGAGUCGGCCUGCGCGGAA
rnacentral:rRNA from 1 species